GCAACCUAGCAUGGAUAUUCCGAGUGCAUGAUUUUAUGACUUGAUGGUUGAUUUAGUAGAGCAGGAGGUGUUCCAGUUAUUUGAAAGAUAUAGGUGGUUGUUUCUAUAUAUGAGGCUGCCCCGAGGAAAUCUGUGGUGGUCUGGCCAUGAAGCUGUUUAUUUCCUCGAUGACAUUCAACUUUGUCACCGGUAGUUCUUACUGCUACUCAUCAGUACUUCAAGUCGUCAACAGAAAAAAACUAUGAUGCACAUUGUGGGCAAUCAUGGAGAGCUAGAUGAUGUUUGAUAAUAGCUACUGGUCUGACAUGAGCAAUGCCGGUCUUCUGGGAUUGGAAAGGUGUUUCGUGAAGCAACAAUCAUGCUACAAUCAAAUUUAAUGGCUAUUACAGCGGCAGAAAGGAGGAGGACGGCCUCCUGAUCCAGCGGGC